rnacentral:rRNA from 1 species
UGGCCGCGGGAUUCUUGGUCAUUUAGAGGAAGUAAAAGUCGUAACAAGGUCUCCGUUGGUGAACCAGCGGAGGGAUCAUUACCGAGUUUACAACUCCCAAACCCCUGUGAACAUACCACUUGUUGCCUCGGCGGAUCAGCCCGCUCCCGGUAAAACGGGACGGCCCGCCAGAGGACCCCUAAAACUCUGUUUCUAUAUGUAACUUCUGAGUAAAACCAUAAAUAAAUCAAAACUUUCAGCAACGGAUCUCUUGGUUCUGGCAUCGAUGAAGAACGCAGCAAAAUGCGAUAAGUAAUGUGAAUUGCAGAAUUCAGUGAAUCAUCGAAUCUUUGAACGCACAUUGCGCCCGCCAGUAUUCUGGCGGGCAUGCCUGUUCGAGCGUCAUUUCAACCCUCAAGCACAGCUUGGUGUUGGGACUCGCGUUAAUUCGCGUUCCUCAAAUUGAUUGGCGGUCACGUCGAGCUUCCAUAGCGUAGUAGUAAAACCCUCGUUACUGGUAAUCGUCGCGGCCACGCCGUUAAACCCCAACUUCUGAAUGUUGACCUCGGAUCAGGUAGGAAUACCCGCUGAACUUUAAGCAUAUCAAUAAGCGGAGGAAAAGAAACCAACAGGGAUUGCCCCAGUAACGGCG